AAUUUCGAGUCUUUGAUUUUUAAUUUUGCGAAAAGUGGAGUUGAGAGGAAUAAAAAAAUGUUAUUAUACCAUUAAUAUUAGUUUUAUUGAUAUCAUAACAUAUGAUAUAAAAUAUACACUGUGUCAUGGAUUAAACAAGCGAGUCGCAAUGGGGAUAAUAACAAAAUAUUGUCAACCGCCGCCAUAGCAACUUCUCCUCUACACUAGACACGCAACUUGAAAAGGAGAGAAACAAAAAACUAAAUAAGUAUGGGCGAUCCAAAUACACACACACAACUCUGGGUAAGAGUGGCCUUUUACCCAAAAUUAUACGAUGCCAAUGGUGGAACAAGAGCGAGACGUACCAAAUUAAAAUGAUUUAUCCCGUACAACGUCUUUGCUGUAACAAAAUUCGUUAUAUCAGUUGAAUAAAUACGUUUAUACGUCGUUUGGCCCGUCAA